AGAGUUUGAUCCUGGCUCAGAAUCAACGCUGGCGGCGUGCCUCGGACAUGCAAGUCGAACGCGAAAGUCCCCUUCGGGGGACGAGUAGAGUGGCGCACGGGUGAGUAACACGUAGGUAAUUUGCCUUCGGGUGGGGAAUAACAGCCGGAAACGGCUGCUAAUACCGCAUAAUGCAGCGGCUCGACAUCGAGACAGUUGUUAAAGCGGGGGAUUCGCAAGAACCUCGCGCCUGAAGAGAAGCCUGCGGCAGAUUAGCUAGUUGGUAGGGUAAUGGCCUACCAAGGCGACGAUCUGUAACCGGCCUGAGAGGGCGGUCGGUCACACUGACACUGACAUACGGGUCAGACUCCUACGGGAGGCAGCAGUCGGGAAUUUUGGGCAAUGGGCGAAAGCCUGACCCAGCAACGCCGCGUGAAGGAUGAAAUCCCUCGGGAUGUAAACUUCGCAAGAAUGGGAAGAAUAAGUAGAAGAAUAUACCUUCUAUGAUGACGGUACCAUUUGUAAGCUCCGGCUAACUCCGUGCCAGCAGCCGCGGUAUACGGGGGGAGCAAGCGUUUUGUCG
rnacentral:rRNA from 1 species